rnacentral:lncRNA from 1 species
CUUUGCUACGUUAGGUCAAUGCAUGGCUGCAUUGAAAUACCAUUUGGUUAGUCAAGCUUUAGCUUUUAUUGUAUUUUCACAACACUUUGUUCAAGAUCCCAGGGAUCUAGUUUGUAGUCUUCUUUUCCAACCGAAAAAUGGUGCUAGUAAUUUGCAAAAUCUCCUUUAUGAUUACAUGACAUUUUGUCUCCCAAAGUGAUUUGUGUUAGAUGCUGCCUUCUCCAAUAUAAUGCCCGAGGCAGAACCUGCGCAUCUUCUCCAAAACUUGUUCAGAACUCUGGCGAUAAACGGCAGUUCUGUGGGAUUCUGGCUUUUCUUCCAUCAACCCUCCAAAGAGAUCUAUCGAUACGAAUGAUCUGAAGGAGAAUCGAGCUCUGAAAGUCUUACAAGUUAGACCUCUUGAUGGUUUCCCUUGAAGAACGAAGAUCGAAAUAGAUCCAUUAUUCACUUCUGAGUUUCCAAAAACUACACACUUGAUCCUAAAGCUUUAAAGAUCCCAAUUAAAUGCUGCUUUCAGAACAUAUCUUCUCUCAACAAUGGAGCCAUGGAGGUCAAUUCUCCCCCCUGUAAAGACCUCAACCAACUUCAUUACUCACUGCUUAAGAGAAAUUUAAAAGGGGAGGCUGCAAUGCUAUAACUCCCAAGUUUACAGAGUGACCAUUCCUCCAUUAAUACACCAUUCUAUUCAUCUACUUCACCGUUUCCCUGUGGGAAGUUUAACUCAGUCAUCACAGAAAAGAAACGAAGAGACCAAGGCCUCAUUUUCCCAGCAACACCACAUUAAUACACCCUCUACCUCGAAACAGAAGACUGAAUCCAAAUGAUAUCCAUAUGAUUAAUGAGUCACCGCUGGACAGUCAUAAUCAUUGUAGAACUGGAUCAAUUGGGUGUGCCCUAUUAGUCCAAGGCACAACCCAUACAGCUCAGUGAGAUUUGAAAUUGCUGUUACAUUCAAUAUCCCUGCACUCCCUACCCUCAAUCAACAGGAAGGAAAAGCUAAUGCACAUUCAUAAUCCACUGUGCACUGUAAGUAGUUAGCAUGCUAUGUUACAAAAUCAAUCAAACCAAAGUGACAGUCCUUGUGGCAAAUGCAGAUGCAGACGCUAGUGUUCAGAUACACAAAAAUCUGGGGAAUCGGUGAGUAAUGGUCUGCUUUGAUCUUAACAAGUGCUUAACGAAAAAAGAAUGCAGAAGAGCAUACUAUGACCCAGAAAACAUUCCUGAUAAGUGAAAAAGGGCGAUGAAUAUGGAGUUGUGAAUGGUUCUUCAAUACCACAAACCCCCAUAAAGCAGGAGCAAAAGAAAUGAGGCUUAAAUACUGAUAAGAGAGAGAUAUUGUGCACAUGUGUGAGAGAGAGAGAGAGAGAGAGAGAGAGAGAGAGAGAGAGNGAGAGAGAGAGAGAGGUAGGUNNNNNNNNNNNNNNNNNNNNGAGAGAGAGAGAGGUCUUAAAAAUGCCUCUUCAAACACCCAACAGACAUGUUGGCACUGUUUCUUGUAAGUCAUCACUUCCGUGGAAGAACAAAGUAUAAUCUAUAGCUCUUUUUUCUUUAAUUGCUUUUACAUUUGUUGACAGAUGC